rnacentral:rRNA from 1 species
CAACUGAACCUUCGGGUUAGUGGCUGGACGGGUGAGUAACGCGUGAGAAUCUGCCCUCAGGAGGGGGGACAACAGUUGCGAAACGACUGCUAAUACCCCGAUAUGCCCGCGAGUGUGAAAUGAAUUCUCGCCUGAGGAUGAGCUCGCGUCUGAUUAGCUAGUUGGUGUAGGUAACGGCUCACCAAGGCAUCGAUCAGUAGCUGGUCUGAGAGGAUGAUCAGCCACACUGGGACUGAGACAUGGCCCAGACUCCUACGGGAGGCAGCAGUGGGGAAUUUUCCGCAAUGGGCGAAAGCCUGACGGAGCAACGCCGCGUGAGUGGAUGAAGGCCUCUGGGCUGUAAACCUCUUUUAUCGAGGAAGAAGAUCUGACGGUACUUGAUGAAUAAGCCACGGCUAAUUCCGUGCCAAGCAGCCGCGGUAAUACCGGGAGUGGCAAGCGUUAUCCGGAAUUAUUGGGCGUAAAGCGUCUCGCAGAGCGGCCCUUCCAAGUCUAGCUAGUUAAAAAAAGUGGAGCUUAAAUCCAUCAUGGCAGAUGGAAACUGUUGGGCUUGAGUGUGGUAAAGGGCACGAGGGAAUUCCCGGCGUAACGGU